rnacentral:misc_RNA from 1 species
GAUGAAGAACGCAGCGAAAUGCGAUAAGUAGUGUGAAUUGCAGAAUUCAGUGAAUCAUCGAAUCUUUGAACGCACAUUGCGCCCCAUGGUAUUCCGUGGGGCAUGCCUGUUCGAGCGUCAUUUACCCCCUCAAGCUCCGCUUGGUGUUGGGCGUCUGUCCCGCUUCGCGCGCGGACUCGCCCCAAAGGUAUUGGCAGCGGUCGUGCCAGCUUCUCGCGCAGCACAUUGCGCUUCUCGAGGCACCGGUGGGCCCGCGCCCAUCAAGCUCACCCCCCCAGUUUGACCUCGGAUCAGGUAGGGAUACCCGCUGAACUUAAGCAUAUCAAUAAGCGGAGGA